rnacentral:tRNA from 2 species
GACCCUGUAGCUCAGCAGGAUAGAGCGCUGGCCUUCUAAGUCAGCGGUCGACGGUUCGAAUCCGCCCAGGGUCGCCA